UUAAGUAGUAAAGGGCGCACGGAGGAUGCCUUGGCACUAGGAGCCGAUGAAGGACGUGACAAACGACGAAAUGCUACGGGGAGCUGUAAGUAAGCAAAGAGCCGUAGAUAUCCGAAUGGGGGAACCCACCGCUUUUAAAAGGGCGGUACGCGAAAGCGAGGUAACGCAGGGAACUGAAACAUCUAAGUACCUGUAGGAAGAGAAAGAAAAAUCGAUUUCCUAAGUAGCGGCGAGCGAAAAGGAAAGAACCAAUGUGCUUGCAUAUUGGGGUUGUAGGACUCUCAACAAAGUGUAUGACAAAGUAUAGUAGAACUAGCUGGAAAGUUAGACCGUAGAAGGUAAAAGUCCUGUAUACGAAAUGCUAAGUUGGCGCGAGAGAGCACCUGAGUACGGCGGAACACGAGGAAUUCCGUCGGAAUCUACCAGGACCAUCUGGUAAGGCUAAAUACUACCUAGUGACCGAUAGUGAACCAGUACCGUGAGGGAAAGGUGAAAAGAACCCCGGGAGGGGAGUGAAAGAGAACCUGAAACCGUAUGUCUACAAGCAGUCGGAGCGAAAGCGACGGCGUGCCUAUUGAAGAAUGAACCAACGAGUUACGUGCACUAGCGAGGUUAAGUGGAAGACACGGAGCCGAAGCGAAAGCGAGUCUUAAUAGGGCGGAUAGUUAGUGUACGUAGACCCGAAACCGCAGUGAUCUACCCAUGUCCAGGUUGAAGCGCAGGUAAAAUUGCGUGGAGGACCGAACCUGUGAGCGUUGAAAAGCUUUAGGAUGAGAUGUGGGUAGAGGUGAAAUUCCAAUCGAACGCGGAGAUAGCUGGUUCUCCCCGAAAUAGCUUUAGGGCUAGCCUCAAGUAGUAAGUAUAGGCGGUAGAGCACUGAUCGGGCUAGGGGCCAUAAAGGUUACCGAACCCUGUCAAACUCCGAAUGGUUAUACUGCAGAGCUUGGGAGUCAGACUACGAGUGAUAAGAUCCGUGGUCAAAAGGGAAACAGCCCAGACCACCAGCUAAGGUCCCAAAUGCCGUACUAAGUGGAAAAGGAUGUGGGGUCUCGAAAACAACCAGGAUGUUGGCUCAGAAGCAGCCACCAUUUAAAGAGUGCGUAAUAGCUCACUGGUCGAGAGACCCUGCGCCGAAGAUUACCGGGGCUAAAGUACGGAACCGAAGCUGUGGCUGUGUACGAAAGUACACGGGGUAGGGGAGCGUUCCCACAGGGUUGAAGUUGUGCUGAAAGGCAUGGUGGACUUGUGGGAAGUGAGAAUGUUGGUAUGAGUAGCGAAAAGAAAGGUGAGAAUCCUUUCCACCGAAAGCAUAAGGAUUCCUGGGCAACGAUCGUCGUCCCAGGGUAAGUCGGGACCUAAUCCGAGGCAUGGAGCGUAGGAGAUGGACAACUGGCAGAUAUUCCAGUACCGGUAAUGAUUGUUUGAGCGACGGAGUGACACAGGAGGGCAGGCAGGCAGGAGAUUGGUUGUUCCUGUAUAAGCGUGUAGGAUGAAACAUAGGCAAAUCCGUGUUUCGGAAGUCUGAGGCGUGAUGUGGAGUGUCCAGAGAUGGACGCGAAGCUGCUGACCCCACACUGUCGAGAAAAGCUUCUAGUUAGAGAAUUACCGCCCGUACCGUAAACCGACACAGGUAUGCGGGGAGAGAAUCCUAAGGUGCGCGGGAGAACCCUCGUUAAGGAACUCGGCAAAAUGUACCCGUAACUUCGGGAUAAGGGUAGCCGCUGUUGUGAAGUCUGAACAGACGGAGCAUGAGGCGGUCGCAGAGAAGAGGCCCAAGCGACUGUUUACCACAAACACAGGUGCCUGCUAAAGAGAAAUCUGACGUAUAGGUGCUGACACCUGCCCAGUGCCGGAAGGUUAAGGAAGGAUGUCCGGAGCAAUCCAAAGCAUUCGACCGAAGCCCCGGUGAACGGCGGCCGUAACUAUAACGGUCCUAAGGUAGCGAAAUUCCUUGUCGGGUAA
rnacentral:rRNA from 1 species